rnacentral:rRNA from 1 species
UACGUAGGUGGCAAGCGUUGUCCGGAUUUACUGGGCGUAAAGAGCGCGCAGGCGGUCGUUCAAGUCGCGUGUGAAAGCCCCCGGCUCAACUGGGGAGGGUCACGCGAUACUGAUCGACUCGAAGGCAGGAGAGGGUAGUGGAAUUCCCGGUGUAGUGGUGAAAUGCGUAGAUAUCGGGAGGAACACCAGUGGCGAAGGCGGCAUCCUGGACCGACACUGACGCUGAGGCGCGAAAGCUAGGGGAGCAAACGGG